rnacentral:lncRNA from 1 species
CACUCCCGUGUGCAGGGCGGGAACAGCAGCGCAGAAGCGGCACAGCAGCGACCGACCCGCCCUGCCCCGCCUCGUCUCCCUCAGGGCACCCUCAUGGCUUCUCGCUCUCAAGAGGCACUGGUCCCCAGUCUCCAGAUGUGCAAGAUGUGGGAACCUAAACCCACUGGGAUCCUGGGGCUAUAGGUGUUUGAGGUGCAGAUCCCUGGUAUCUCAAAUUCCAGUCUAACCACUGAAGAACUGUGAGAAUUCAUUCUCAGAGAGUCUACAUAAACCAGCUGUAGAAGCGUGGAGAAGACAAGGCUGUGUAUUCAUUGGCACGUUGUACACUGCAGAGAAAGGCCAGGGAGGCAGAUGUAUCAGAAAGCAUCCACAGCAACACUUCACACUACUUUAACUGCGACCUGUGUCAGAAGAAAGCUGCCAAAUAUUUGAAAAUGGUGCUGGAAACAUGACAGCUUAGAACAGGAUGUCUCCCUCACAGGAAAAACCACAGCUUGGUGAGAUACCUCAGGAUGGGGUAAAGUUCUACACGAUAUGACUCAUGUUAUAUUUGGCACUUGGUGCAGUUAAUCUUAUGCUAUAGAACUGAACAAAUGUUCAUGGCCAUAUAAUGACACAAAGUUCAGAAGUCCACUGUAUCACUGAAUCAGUCAUCCUGGACUGUGUAGGUGGAUAUACAGCCUGAAACCACAUGUGAUUAAUGCAAAGGUCAUCUUUAUUUUAGGAUUUUUGUUUUGGGUUUUGUUACUUCUUUUUCACAGUCUGAGACACCGUCAAAAAUAUUGGAUAUCACAAG